rnacentral:rRNA from 1 species
AGGGGCUUCCGUAGGGUGAACCUGCGGAAGGAUCAUUACC